UGAGGCAGGAGAAUUGCUUGAACCCAGGAGGUGGAGGUUGCAGUGAGCCGAGAUCGUGCCACUGCACUCCAGCCUGGGUGACAGAGGGAGACUCUUGUCUC
rnacentral:miRNA from 1 species